AGAGGAAGUGGAAGGCGCCUGCUUGUUCUCUCCUCCGCGCUGCGCUGAGGGACUCACUUGCGCAUCACCCGCGGCUGCCGGCCGAGUGUCCGAGGCGCUCCGGGGUCGCGGUGACCCGCGCGGUGCGGACCGAGGAGGAAGCGCCGUGGGAGGCGGGGCGGCGCCGCACGAUCUGGCCUUCAGCUUCACGGACGUGGGCUGAGAACCCACCCGCGCCGUGCUGAGUAGGGCCGAGGGAGCCGGCCAGGGCCCAGAGGAGUCCGGAACGGAUUCCCGUCGCUACCGAGGUCUGCGCGUGUAAGGAGGGGACGUCGGAGAUUUGCCUCAAGGGGUGGGGUAUAGAUGACUGAAGAGGUCGGGCGCGGGUUGGUCAUCGCUGAGGCUGGGUGAUGGGUGGCCGGAUUCGUUAUACUGUUUUCUCCACUUUUCUGUAUGUUUGAUAUUUUUCAUAAUAAAGUUUGUAGAAGUUAAAACGGGGGUUGGGGGUCGGCGGUGAGAAAAGCCAUUUAAUCUCCCUAAAUGAAUUCUGCCCUCAAAGGAUUGACGCUCUUUUCUCUGUCACUCUCCAAUAAUGAUUAGAAUAAUAAGUUGUAUUUUGAAGAGCUGUUUUCUGGUCCCGGGGAGACCCUUGGUGAACUCAGCAGUACCAUCAGCAUGUAUCCCACGAUGGAGCUCAGUUCAGCCAACUGUUGUCCAGGUGGCUUCCGGAUUUGGGGGAUUAUCUAUGGAUCAAGUUUAAUCUCAGGCUGUCUGCCCCCACCGGUCCCCAGGGGCCUCAGGCCUCCCACCCCUAUUCCUGGGGAAGCAGACACAAUUCACCCAUUCAGCAAGCAUUUAUUGAGGGUCAGCCGUGUGCCAGGGCUUUGCUAGCUGCGGGGACACAUGGAUGGAAACAGGUUUCUGCCCCCAAGCUCACUGCCAACCACUUUAUUGUUAGCCUGGCUGGGACUGCUUGAUGGAAAACAGUCUGCCCUCACUAGACAAGGGCUUGUUGACAACUGACAUAAGGGAAUGAGGUUUUCAGAAGGAAGCGGAGAUCAAAUUCUGAAAUCAGAUGCAAUCAAAUCAGACACCAGGACAGCCAGCAUUGCUUCUGGGUCACAGAUGCAUUUACCCAAAGGCGCUGUCCUCGCCUUGCCAGUGGGGUCUUGGUGAAGACGUGAUGCGGGGGCCUUCUUUCUCUUUGUGGUUAUCUGUGCCAGCCUUCCCUGCAGGCUGCUCUUCCUCCAGCACGUUCUGUUUCUGUUACCGGCUCUUUCCACCCCCGGCAUCUCCGCCCAGAGCCACACGCGUACGCGGAGCACCCACGUGGGCCAGGCUUUGUUUUGCUGCUGGCGGCACCAACGUGAGUAAGACUUGUACUCAGCCCCAGCUGCCCCCAGCCCAGAGGGGAGGGGAGGGCCUGUAGUCCGUGGGGAAGAGCGCCCAGCAGGGGUGUGUCAGGGUGGGGCGUGGGCUGGAGAAGGCCUCCCGGAGGAGAUGAGAGCCGAGGCCAACUCCGAGGAAUGAAUUGUAAGCCAGGCUGCGAAGCAGGAGGGGAGAUUCCAGGCAGAGGAAACUGUUUGAGGUAAAGAAAACAAAAAACACAAAACCCAGCAUGGUGCGUACUGGAGAGACGGGGUUUCACCGUGUUAGUCAGGCUGGUCUCGAACUCCUGACCUUGUGAUCCGCCCACCUUGGCCUCCCAAAGUACUGGGAUUACAGAUGCAGAUGCUGUGGCUCAAAGGAUUAAUUAAUUUGCUUAAGAUAAUGCAACAUGAGAAAAGCAGAUCAGGACCGAAUUCCAGAACGAUUUUGCUUGAAAUAACACUACUACUAAUUGUCUCUCUGCACCUCCUGGCUGGUUUCUCUACUCCUUGCCUGCUGACCCUAGUCGAGGUGCUGUGAACAUACAAAUAGUGCCUGCUACACUAGGGCCUCGGCAUUGGCCAUAGGCCUGAGGGAGAAAAUCAUUGAAGAGGCUUUGUAGUCGAUUUCAACAAAGAAGGCAAUGCCAAUGGAGCGUCUUGCAGGAAGCCCUCCCUGACUGCUUCAGUCCACAGUGCUCUUACCUUUCUCUAUACACUUACAAUCUGUUUCAUUUACUUCCUAGCAGACCUUGCAGAAACAAUUAUUUCAUAUGAUAUGUUUCCUCCAUAGAAUAUAAGCUCCUUAAGGGAAGAGAUUUUUGCUUGGUUUUACAAUGCUGAAUUCCAAGUGCCUAGAAAGGGCCUGGCAGGUCAUAGGCACAAGAAGUAUUGGUCAGAUGAAUAUAUACUUCUUGCAACCCACAGAGACUGACGUUGGUCUGGGCCAGGCCCUGCCCUGGCUUCCAGGGAUGCAGAAGUGAAUCGAAUAACUUCCUGCCCUCUGAGCUUAUGGGGGAGACAUACAUACCUGCACAUUCACAACAGAUUUCAUUACACAUAACCAAAGUAAAAAGGUGGCCACCAGAAGGGGGACUCGACCUGCUUGUUGGAAGGGUGCAAAUGGAAACUAGGGAGGUGAUUUUUCCAGACAUUCCCAGUGGGACAGGUGGCUGUGAGCCUGUGAUGAACUGAGAGGCACCAUUGAGUAAAAGUUAAGAGGACAGGCUCUGGAGCCCAACUGUCUGGGU